rnacentral:rRNA from 1 species
UACGUAGGGAGCAAGCGUUGUCCGGAAUCAUUGGGCGUAAAGAGCGCGUAGGCGGUCCGGUAAGUCGGUUGCGAAAACUGGGGGGCUCAACCCUCAGAGGCCGACCGAUACUGCCGGGCUAGAGUCCGGAAGAGGCGAGUGGAAUUCCUGGUGUAGCGGUGAAAUGCGCAGAUAUCAGGAGGAACACCAAUGGCGAAGGCAGCUCGCUGGGACGGUACUGACGCUGAGGCGCGAAAGCGUGGGGAGCAAACAGG